AUUGAACGCUGGCGGCAUGCUUUACACAUGCAAGUCGAACGGUAACAGGCCUUCGGGUGCUGACGAGUGGCGAACGGGUGAGUAAUGCAUCGGAACGUGCCCAAUCGUGGGGGAUAACGUAGCGAAAGUUACGCUAAUACCGCAUAAGCCCUGAGGGGGAAAGCAGGGGAUCGCAAGACCUUGCGCGAAUGGAGCGGCCGAUGUCAGAUUAGCUAGUUGGUGGGGUAAAGGCCUACCAAGGCGACGAUCUGUAGCGGGUCUGAGAGGAUGAUCCGCCACACUGGGACUGAGACACGGCCCAGACUCCUACGGGAGGCAGCAGUGGGGAUUUUGGACAAUGGGCGCAAGCCUGAUCCAGCCAUGCCGCGUGCGGGACGAAGGCC
rnacentral:rRNA from 1 species